rnacentral:lncRNA from 1 species
CCCUUCUCAAACUGUGAGCUGCUUCUGUUGUGCAUUUUGUCUGGCUUUGAGAAAAGUAACUAGUCCAGAAGAACAAUGCUCCUCUUCUCUCCCUCCAAGGAAAUCUAGGAGUUUCUCUCUUGAAAUAGUAGGGGACCAAAUGAAUGUACUAUGUGUAUUCCACCUUUGUGAUAUUCCACCUUUGAGAUUUCCAAAUCUCUGCUGAACCUGACAUGACAACUUGGUACAGACACGGCAUGUCUGUAUGACUUGUCUUACCUCAUAACAACAUGAGGUAACAUGACAACAGAUAAGGAACAUCCCUGGGAUAAUGAUGAGUCGCUCUGAACAACUUAAAUUCAAGAAGUUUUCACAGAGGAGAUGAUACAUGGCUAGCCACAGGAGGAUGAAUGCACUACAGGUGUUUCCAGGAGAAAGAAGAGCACAAAGAAGUAUGCAUCCCACUUAUUCUAUGACAGCAAAGCGGAGUCUGAGAUCAUUUUACUGUACACAGCAGUAUCUGUGAUUACUUUCUGGAGAUGGGAAAGCCUGAUAGCGUUGUAAAGUAAACGAAACUUAAUGUCAAAAGGAUGGAGCCACUGGGAUUCUGCAAAUUUCCAAGAAACAGGCG